CAAACUUGUUAAGGGCUCAUUUUUUUUGUAAAUGGAGAAGCUCAUGGUGUAACACCAUGAAAUGGAGGCAUAGCAAAAUAUUGCACUGCUAUGGGUUUAGAGACAAAACGUAAAUUACGUUUUGUAUUUGUUUAUUUUUUUUGAAUUUUGAAA